ACUCCAGGCAACUUAAAAUCUGAUAUAUUUCGCCGGAGCUCUCAGAGUAUCCGUUUGAGCUCAAAUUUGACAGUCAUAUUCGGUUUAACGUACCGAACAAGAAUAUACUUUAAGUUUUCAGUUUUGACCCCGUUUGGUCACCGAAAACUGUACCGAACUGUAAUCUUUAUCAGAUAGAUUUCGGAUUUUAUUUCUCAACUUUCGGGUGUCAGAAAAAUAUGAAACUUUAAAUCUAGCCUCAUAAAAAUAUUUCUGACUUAUCCUCCAAUUUUCAUAAUUUUCUGAGACUCUGUAUUUUUUGCUAAUUUAUCUGUCUCGUUUUCAACAGAAAAUUAUAAAUCUUCUGUUUUCAUUCCGAUUUCAGCACAAGUCAUUAUAGACUUAUACAUUGUUUCUCAAAAACCAAAUAAAAAUAGUAUCUCACACUAUUUUUAUUUACUUCUAUUUUUAUACCAAAAUCUGGUAUAUUACACUACAGCUCUUCUACACUAUUUGA
rnacentral:lncRNA from 1 species